GGGCACUCUAAACGAGACUGCCGAUGACAAAUCGGAGGAAGGUGGGGAUGACGUCAAAUCAUCAUGCCCUUUAUGUCCUGGGCUACACACGUGCUACAAUGGUCGGUACAACAAGAAGCAAGUCAGCGAUGGCAAGCAAAUCUCUAAAAGCCGAUCCCAGUUCGGAUUGCAGGCUGCAACUCGCCUGCAUGAAGUCGGAGUUGCUAGUAAUCGCGGAUCAGAAUGCCGCGGUGAAUGCGUUCCCGGGUCCUU
rnacentral:rRNA from 1 species